rnacentral:rRNA from 1 species
GGGGAAUAUUGCACAAUGGAGGAAACUCUGAUGCAGCGACGCCGCGUGAGUGAAGAAGUAUUUCGGUAUGUAAAGCUCUAUCAGCAGGGAAGAUAAUGACGGUACCUGACUAAGAAGCUCCGGCUAAAUACGUGCCAGCAGCCGCGGUAAUACGUAUGGAGCAAGCGUUAUCCGGAUUUACUGGGUGUAAAGGGAGUGUAGGUGGCACAGCAAGUCAGAAGUGAAAGCCCGGGGCUCAACCCUGGGACUGCUUUUGAAACUGCUGGGCUGGAGUGCAGGAGAGGUAAGUGGAAUUCCUAGUGUAGCGGUGAAAUGCGUAGAUAUUAGGAGGAACACCAGCGGCGAAGGCGGCUUACUGGACUGUAACUGACACUGAGGCUCGAAAGCGUGGGGAGCAAAC